rnacentral:rRNA from 1 species
UGGGGAAUAUUGCACAAUGGGCGCAAGCCUGAUGCAGCCAUGCCGCGUGUGUGAAGAAGGCCUUCGGGUUGUAAAGCACUUUCAGCGAGGAGGAAGGGUAGUGUGUUAAUAGCACAUUGCAUUGACGUUACUCGCAGAAGAAGCACCGGCUAACUACGUGCCAGCAGCCGCGGUCAUACGGAGGGUGCAAGCGUUAAUCGGAAUUACUGGGCGUAAAGCGCACGCAGGCGGUUUGUUAAGUCAGAUGUGAAAUCCCCGCGCUUAACGUGGGAACUGCAUUUGAAACUGGCAAGCUAGAGUCUUGUAGAGGGGGGUAGAAUUCCAGGUGUAGCGGUGAAAUGCGUAGAGAUCUGGAGGAAUACCGGUGGCGAAGGCGGCCCCCUGGACAAAGACUGACGCUCAGGUGCGAAAGCGUGGGGAGCAAACA